rnacentral:rRNA from 1 species
AGUGAACGCUGGCGGUAGGCCUAACACAUGCAAGUCGAACGGCAGCACAGUAAGAGCUUGCUCUUACGGGUGGCGAGUGGCGGACGGGUGAGGGAUACAUCGGAAUCUACUUUUUCGUGGGGGAUAACGUAGGGAAACUUACGCUAAUACCGCAUACGACCUACGGGUGAAAGCAGGGGAUCUUCGGACCUUGCGCGAUUGAAUGAGCCGAUGUCGGAUUAGCUAGUUGGCGGGGUAAAGGCCCACCAAGGCGACGAUCCGUAGCUGGGCUGAGAGGAUGAUCUGCCACACUGGAAUUGAGACACGGUCCAGACUCCUACGGGAGGCAGCAGUGGGGAAUAUUGGACAAUGGGCGGAAGGCUGAUCCAGCCAUACCGCGUGGGUGAAGAAGUCCUUCGGGUUGUAAAGCCAUUUUGUUGGGAAAGAAAAGCAGCAGGUUAAUACCCCGCUGUUCUGACGGUACCCAAAGAAUAAGCACCGGCUAACUUCGUG